GCAGGGACAGCAAGAUGGCGUCACAGAGGCAGGUCCUUCUCUGCUUGUUGCUGUGGGUCUCAGGUACCCAUGGGGACAUCACGAUGACUCAGUCUCCAGGCUCGCUGGCUGUAUCUCCAGGUCAACGGGUCACCAUGAACUGCAGAGCCAGUCAGAGUGUUUACAGCAAUGUAGCCUGGUACCAGCAGAAACCUGGGCAGGCUCCCAGGCUCCUCAUCUAUGGUGCAUCCAGCAGGGCCACAGGCAUCCCAGAGCGGUUCAGUGGCAGUGGGUCUGGGACAGACUUCAUCCUCACCAUCAGCAACCUCCAGGCCGAAGAUGUGGGAAACUAUUACUGCCAGCAGGAUAAUAACUAUCCGCCCACAUCUGGCCAGGGGAGCAAAGUGGAAAUCAAUGGAAUAUAUAUUUUAGCCCCUCAAAACUUAGGAUCCUUUUAAAACCAGCAUGGGGUA